GAUUCAACGGCCGCGGUACUCUGACCGUGCGAAGGUAGCACAAUCACUUGUUCUUUAAAUGAGGACUAGAAUCAAUGGCGUCACGAGGGUUCCACUGUCUCCUUUUUCUAAUCAGUGAAAUUGAUCUCCCCGUGAAGAAGCGGGGAUAAUAAUAUAAGACGAGAAGACCCCAUGGAGCUUCAAACUCAACGGAUAACUCUACAACUUACUAGAUAUCUUAAGAGACCUAUCCGUUAGUUUUGGGUUGGGGUGACCACGGAGAACAGCCUAACCUCCGUAAUGAAAAGAAUAAAAUCAUAAUCUAAGAGCUACACCUCUAAGAAUUAACAAAUUAACAUACAAUGAUCCAAUUUUAUUGAUCAAUGAACCAAGUUACCCUGGGGAUAACAGCGCUAUCCACUUCUAGAGUCCAUAUCGCCAAGUGGGUUUACGACCUCGAUGUUGGAUCAGGGUGUCCGAGUGGUGCAGCC
rnacentral:rRNA from 1 species